rnacentral:rRNA from 1 species
GUCGAGAAUCUUUCUCAAUGGGCGAAAGCCUGAAGGAGCGACGCCGCGUGGGGGAUGAAUGGCUUCGGCCCGUAAACCCCUGUCAUUCGCGAGCAAGGUUUGCCAUUUAAAAGAUGGCAAGCUUGAUAGUAGCGGAAGAGGAAGGGACGGCUAACUCUGUGCCAGCAGCCGCGGUAAUACAGAGGUCCCAAGCGUUGUUCGGAUUCACUGGGCGUAAAGGGUGCGUAGGUGGUGAGGUAAGUCUGGUGUGAAAGCUCCGAGCUCAACUCGGAAAUGGCAUCAGAAACUACCUUGCUCGAGGAUUGGAGGGGGGACUGGAAUUCUCGGUGUAGCAGUGAAAUGCGUAGAUAUCGAGAGGAACACCAGUGGCGAAGGCGAGUCCCUGGACAACUCCUGACACUGAGGCACGAAAGCUAGGGGAGCAAACAGGAUUAGAUACCCGAGUAGUCC